UUCACGACUCCACGCAGAACUAACCUAAAUCCCAUCGAUCCGUCUCUGCGUCCGCCGCCGCCCCUCUCGCGCUACCUCCCCGCCUCAUCCGACUGCUUCCCCGCCGUCGGGAUGGAUAUCGGGGCUGAGGUGAGGAGGGUUGAGGGUCCCUCGAUUUCUGUCUAGGGUUCCCCGCCCACGCCGUCGCCUCGGCCACAUGCCUCGCGCCGCCCAGCCCCGCCAGACGCCGACGCCACGCCUCGCUCGCCUUCAUCGAGGUCGCCCGAUGCAGCCCAACCAUGGUGUGCAUCGGCCACUUGGGCGCAUUGGCUGCGGUAGUGACGCAGGGGCACGUGUGGAAGCCGGGACGAGGACGGACACAUCCAGAUCAGGUGCUCACGCCUGAUCUUGAUUAGUGUGGCCGCGGCGUUUGAAGAUUGAGCAUUGGACGGAUGCGUCCAGAGCAGACCUGACCUACAUGGCUGAGCGAGAUUGAGGCCGGCCGCCGGUCAUGUUCUCCUACGGUGCAAGCUCCGCACUGAAGCAUCCAACACAUGUUGUAAAGAAUCUGUACACUCCGGAGCAAGUAUUGUGAUCACAAUUACAGACAAGAUUCCUAAGUGCUUGAGGAUGUGAGUGCUCAAGGUAAACUUGCGGUGUAAUCUUGACCGAGCAAGAACGGCGAUGUGAUGCUCAUGGAAGAUGAGGUCAAGGAGGUGAACACACUAACCAAGGUGAGGAGAUCAAGAGCAUCAACAACCUCUUGACCGGGCUCUUCGUCGUUGCCACCAACAACAGUUACGAGCUUGUGAGGUAGCUGCUGGAGUGUUGGAGCAUCCUUGAAAAGAAGAAGAACAAAAUGCUGAUCAAGUUGUUCAACGAAGACGAGAGAGACAACCAUGGUAGGGAGCAAAAGAAGGCGUAGACUAUCUGCCAACUUCGACAGGGGGCAGAAGAAGAAAGAAGAAGAGUGAUUUAAUGGUGAAAGAAACUCGAAAGCAUGUUCGAACUAUUAAAUUAUAUAUGCCCCUGUUGCAACACAUGUUAGAUUACUACACUGUCAUAAUUCCAACAAAAUGCGGAACUAGCGAUACACCGUUCUCACAAAUAUUACACUGAUUGUUCAGUACUUUUUUUUCCAGGCAUUUGGCUUUUGACUGCAUAAAAGUGAGUAGAGGUGAAUGAAUGUUUAGGGAUGGAGGCUAGGCACUGUGAGAGAGUUAUUUUCAAUACUAUGAUUGUCACUGUCACUGUGUGCCUCAUUGCACUGUGAUGAUAAAGACAGAAAAUGGUCUGUGCACAUGGCGCUAACGAUCGUGGAGGGAUCGACAAGGGGCCCGACUGUACUGUUUGGUACCGGAGGAGCCACUGCGGGCGUUGACGGCAGCAGAACACUUUACCCCUCAUGCCCAGCUUCCACUGGUCCACCGUGGGUGCUUCAGGCUUUGGUGAUUACAGCAAAUUAGCGCCGAGAUAUGCUGCAAGAAUCGUCGGCAAGUGUUGUUUCGCUGGGAAGGCAUCGGCCAUGAGAAUAGUAAAGUUGGGGAAGUUGUGCCGCUUUACAAGCACAAGAACACUAUGAUAGUGAAGGACCUGAACUUGAAGUCAAAGCACAAUAAAUGCAUAGAGGAUGAACCGGGGGAAAUUGUCAUGAUUUUCCUUUGAUCAGAUUGAAGGCCCCAUUCUUAGCUUGAACAUGUUGCUCUUUUAAAAUCCUGGCAAGAGCAUAGUUUCAGUGCGCUUCAACCAGUCACUCCUCGAGCAUGCACCACAGUUAUUUCCUCCCCUUUUUCAAGCGCAUUAUUAAUCCAGCGCGCGGCUGCUUUGGAUAACUUCAAGGCAAUUAAUAGCCCAUCUUGGUAUUAUAAAUUUUGCUCUCGGGCCCUUUAAACCCGGACGGAGGUAGUAUGGUGUAAAAUUCCUGAGCUGGACAUUAUGUUACAAUGGAAAUUUGAGGAUUCUUGCCUAUCAUACCCAUUUGUAGCCUAUAUCACACUGCAAAAUUCCAUGAACAAUUUGGUCCACAUUAUUUUUCUGUUA